GAUGAACGCUGGCGGCGUGCCUAAUACAUGCAAGUCGAGCGAACAGACGAGGAGCUUGCUUCUCUGACGUUAGCGGCGGACGGGUGAGUAACACGUGGAUAACCUACCUAUAAGACUGGGAUAACUUCGGGAAACCGGAGCUAAUACCGGAUAAUAUAUUGAACCGCAUGGUUCAAUAGUGAAAGCCGGUUUUGCUGUCACUUAUAGAUGGAUCCGCGCCGCAUUAGCUAGUUGGUAAGGUAACGGCUUACCAAGGCAACGAUGCGUAGCCGACCUGAGAGGGUGAUCGGCCACACUGGAACUGAGACACGGUCCAGACUCCUACGGGAGGCAGCAGUAGGGAAUCUUCCGCAAUGGGCGAAAGCCUGACGGAGCAACGCCGCGUGAGUGAUGAAGGUCUUCGGAUCGUAAAACUCUGUUAUUAGGGAAGAACAAAUGUGUAAGUAACUAUGCACGUCUUGACGGUACCUAAUCAGAAAGCCACGGCUAACUACGUG
rnacentral:rRNA from 1 species